AGAGUUUGAUCAUGGCUCAGAUUGAACGCUGGCGGCAUGCCUUACACAUGCAAGUCGAACGGCAGCACGGGCUUCGGCCUGGUGGCGAGUGGCGAACGGGUGAGUAAUACAUCGGAACGUGCCCUGUAGUGGGGGAUAACUAGUCGAAAGAUUAGCUAAUACCGCAUACGACCUGAGGGUGAAAGCGGGGGACCGCAAGGCCUCGCGCUACAGGAGCGGCCGAUGUCUGAUUAGCUAGUUGGUGGGGUAAAAGCCUACCAAGGCGACGAUCAGUAGCUGGUCUGAGAGGACGAUCAGCCACACUGGGACUGAGACACGGCCCAGACUCCUACGGGAGGCAGCAGUGGGGAAUUUUGGACAAUGGGGGCAACCCUGAUCCAGCAAUGCCGCGUGUGUGAAGAAGGCCUUCGGGUUGUAAAGCACUUUUGUCCGGAAAGAAAUGGCCUGGGAUAAUACCCCGGGUCGAUGACGGUACCGGAAGAAUAAGCACCGGCUAACUACGUGCCAGCAGCCGCGGUAAUACGUAGGGUGCGAGCGUUAAUCGGAAUUACUGGGCGUAAAGCGUGCGCAGGCGGUUUUGUAAGACAGGCGUGAAAUCCCCGAGCUUAACUUGGGAAUGGCGCUUGUGACUGCAAGGCUAGAGUAUGUCAGAGGGGGGUAGAAUUCCACGUGUAGCAGUGAAAUGCGUAGAGAUGUGGAG
rnacentral:rRNA from 1 species